AUCGAGAAUCUUCCACAAUGGACGAAAGUCUGAUGGAGCGACGCCGCGUGAGUGAUGAAGGCCCUACGGGUUGUAAAACUCUGUCAGGAGAGAAGAAUCGCCGGGGUGCCAAUACCACCCUGGUCUGACGUUAUCUCCAGAGGAAGCUCCGGCUAACUCCGUGCCAGCAGCCGCGGUAAUACGGGGGGAGCAAGCGUUGUCCGGAAUUAUUGGGCGUAAAGGGCGUGUAGGCGGCCUGGUCAGUCGAAUGUGAAAUCCCACGGCGCAACCGUGGAACUGCGUUCGAUACUGCCUGGCUUGAGUAUGUGAGAGGUGUGCGGAAUUCCGGGUGUAGCGGUGGAAUGCGUAGAUAUCAGGAAGAACACCGAUGGCGAAGGCAGCACACUGGCGCAAUACUGACGCUGAGGCGCGAAAGCGUGGGGAGCAAACAGGAUUAGAUACCCGAGUAGUCC
rnacentral:rRNA from 1 species